CCUACGGGCGGCAGCAGUAGGGAAUUUUCGUCAAUGGGCGCAAGCCUGAACGAGCAAUGCCGCGUGAACGAGGAAGGUCUUCGGAUCGUCACGUUCUGUUGAAGGGGAAAAAGAGCAGAGAGAGGAAAUGGUCUCCGAUUGAUAUUACCCUUCGAGGAAGUCACGGCUAACUACGUGCCAGCAGCCGCGGUAAUACGUAGGUGGCGAGCGUUAUCCGGAUUGAUUGGGCGUAAAGGGUGCGUAGGCGGCCUGCUAAGUCUGGAGUGAAAGGUACCGGCUCAACCGGUACAGGCUCUGGAAACUGGCGGGCUAGAGAGCAGGAGAGGGCGGUGGAACUCCAUGUGUAGCGGUAAAAUGCGUAGAUAUAUGGAAGAACACCAGUGGCGAAGGUGGCCGCCUGGCCUGUUACUGACGCUGAGGCACGAAAGCGUGGGGAGCAAAUAGGAUUAGAUACCCGAGUAGUC
rnacentral:rRNA from 1 species